rnacentral:rRNA from 1 species
AGUGAACGCUGGCGGCGUGCCUAAUACAUGCAAGUCGAACGGAGAUUCAGUAGCUUGCUAUUUAAUCUUAGUGGCGCACGGGUGAGUAAUAUAUAGCUAACUUGCCCAUUACUCAGGGACAACAGUUGGAAACGACUGCUAAUACCUUAUACUCCGUAUCUAUAUAAGUAGAUACGGGAAAGUUUUUCGGUAAUGGAUAGGGCUAUAUCGUAUCAGCUAGUUGGUAAGGUAAUGGCUUACCAAGGCUAUGACGCGUAACUGGUCUGAGAGGAUGAUCAGUCACACUGGAACUGAGACACGGUCCAGACUCCUACGGGAGGCAGCAGUAGGGAAUAUUGCUCAAUGGGGGAAACCCUGAAGCAGCAACGCCGCGUGGAGGAUGACACUUUUCGGAGCGUAAACUCCUUUUCUUGGGAAAGAAUUAUGACGGUACCCAAGGAAUAAGCACCGGCUAACUCCGUG